rnacentral:lncRNA from 1 species
UGAACCGCCAUCUUGACUAAAGGUGACUGCAUGGAAAUUAGAGUUUAUAAUAUCAGGCAGACUGCCAGAUCCUGACAGUGACCCAAAGUCUCCAAAGAAGAUUAUGAGGCACUCCAGUUCCUGCACCUGGAUGAUGAUGACGCUGACCAAUGAGCAAGAUGCUCAAAUGUGAUACCAGCUGCCUGUCAGGACCUGGCCUAGAUUGUGGACAAAGCUGCUGGACACUGGAAAAUUAAUUUCAUCCCCUUUGCCUAGACAAAACAAGGCACAUCUGAGUAUCAGUUGCUGACUACAGGCUGUUCCUAAGUAGACUGAGAGCCCUGGACUUGCUGUGGAUGUGAACCAGUCCAGCUGAUGUGGACACCCCUGUCUCUGUAACAGAGUCUGCUAACCAGAAGCUCCUGAUGGAUUCCCCAUUGCCUAAAUUCCCUUUUUGCUUUUGACUAGCAUUUCAGCCUGCUUGGGUCCCUAAUUUCAUCCCAAAGUCAGCAGUAAGUAGCAUGGGAAAGAAUAUGUCACCCAUUUUCCCUGGUUGAAAUGCUAAGUCAGAAGGAACUCCCUUACAUGGGGAUGCCAAUAUCUCUCACUCCCUGAUGGGGACGCUGGAGAGACAGCAAAUCCAUGAUUGGAAUCUCAAAAAAAUGGGGGAAUGAAGGGACCAGCUCCCCAUUUUGGCAGCCAUAACAGCUGAACACAUGCUUGUCUGACCUUGUCUUGGUCACUAGGACAUCAGAUGCCUGCCUCAUGGCAAGGAACCAAUCAGAAGUUAGCUGGUGGUGCUAUGCUUUACGACUCUGGGUGUGCUUUACAGACAAGUGCACAGCAAUGACAUGCAGAGCAUAGCAACUACCCUGGGAGGGCCUAUGGGCCAUAACAACCAGUUGACUAAUCAACACAGGGCAAACCCUCCAAGCCUGGAGGCACACCAACCCUGAGCCUGUGCGUGCCCCUAGACACUCCCCUUAUGCUGCCCUAUAAGAUCUCUAUGCAGAUGGUUGGAGCCGUCUUUCCUAGCCAUCUGCCAUGUUGGAUGGAUGAAAGACCUGAGCUAACAUGGUGUUAGCUCGUUGAACAACUACAAUAAAGCCUCAUGCUGUUUGCAUCAAGUUUCUGCCUCCGCAUGGUGGGUGGCCAAAGUCCUGGACUGAGAUCCUGGGUCCCUGCGCUUCCAGGGGUCUUUCUGUGAUACUGGAAUUCCUUUCAUUACUAUUAACUGAGUUCACAAUGGAUGAGCUUGUAAGGCUGGCUCCCAGACUCUAUUUCCUAUAAUCAAAACAGCUCAGCUUUUUUUCCUCUUUUUAUUUUCCUUGUAAAUAAAAUAUUCUUAAGAAAUUUUGAGGGAGGCAUAUUUUGAGACAGAGCCUCAGCAUAUAGCCCAGGGUGACCUCUAACUCAUGACCCUCCUGCCUCAACCUCCUAAAUUCAGAAAUUAGGCAUACAUUAGCACAACCAGUUUAAACACCAUUUUAAUUAAUUCAUCUUUAUUCUGUAUAC